rnacentral:rRNA from 1 species
UACGAAGGGGGCUAGCGUUGUUCGGAUUUACUGGGCGUAAAGCGCACGUAGGCGGCUCGUUAAGUCGGGUGUGAAAUCCUGGAGCUCAACUCCAGAACUGCCUUCGAUACUGGCGAUCUUGAGUCCGGAAGAGGUGAGUGGAACUCCUAGUGUAGAGGUGGAAUUCGUAGAUAUUAGGAAGAACACCAGUGGCGAAGGCGGCUCACUGGUCCGGUACUGACGCUGAGGUGCGAAAGCGUGGGGAGCAAACAGG